rnacentral:tmRNA from 1 species
UAGCUUUUUGGGAUAUAUAUGCUCUAUAAUGGGCUUAUCACUUCGGUGAUUAUGACGCUAAACGCUGUUGUGGAAUAAGCGGCGUGGACCCGGGGGCAGUGCCCGGCGGCUCCACCAUAAGAAGAAGGACUUAAUGUUUGUCUUUUUGUGAUGGGGCCGAAACAGGAUCGACACACGUAGUAAAGACAUUUAGCGGCGUUCGAGAUAGUUCCUUCGAUACAGGGCUAAGCAUUAUAAAUGCAAACGAUAACCAAGUCGUAGCAAAUGAUAACUUCGCAGUUCGUGAAGCUAUCGCUGCCUAAUUUAUUAGGUAGGUAGUAGCUACAAUUCAAUUCCUAUCAUCUAGACAAUGGUAGGUGGGGGCUGGGUCCACCUCGCAACAGAACGGACCCAUU